UGGAAUUAUUACAUUAUUAAUAUUUUCAUCUGCUGGCUGGCAUAUUCACCCUGAAACAGAGCUUUGCAAAAUGAUGGAGAAUCCGUGAAGAAUUGGUCUCAGAAAUGAGCAACGCUCUCGCCCGCUGUGAACUGUUCAAAUCAUCCAGUUUGCUUGACUUUUUGAAGAUCCUGCCUCAUGUGGUCCGCGCUACGAGGCCAAAGGAGACGGAGCUCCAAGCUCGGUGGGGCUCCCACUUUGAUACCCGGCCCAACAUGGCGUCCUGUGACAUCACGUGGCAGGGGGUCUCUGUGAAGCUAAUCUCUAAUAAGGGAUGAAACGCUGCAUCUGAUGAAGGUUGAUCUUUCGAGAACCACUUUAAGAGGAGCUGUUAAUGAUGACGACUUUGGACGGUUGAAGUGGAAAUGUUAAUGAAGGACCACCACUCGGUUUGAUUCGGUUCAUUUAAUGAGACACGUCACUGAUUUAUGGAUUAGAAAUGAAUAUAACCUAAUGACAUUUUGUGAAAACACACUAAACUGAACCACUCAUUUAUGAAUCACAAUACCACACAUUACAAAUUAUAAACAGCCGUUUUUAUGUGGGAAAGUACUAUUUUACUUGUGGCGUUUGUAUACUGAUUAAGUUACUUCUUAUCAGUCAAACCUGGCAACAUACGGUUAUUGGCAGAUACGUUACCGCCACAUCGGCAACAACGGACACUUCGACGUUAAACACCACAGAAUUAGAAGAACAACAGGAGACGUUUAUGUGCGUUUCCUCCAGACAACGUUGAACGAGCAUCCCGGAAGCAGCUUCGGACGGAGGCGCUCCUGCUUUAAAUGCUGGACAGGUCAAAGAGCAUCUUGGAGCUGUCACGGCCCGCCUGCCACACAAGAGGAACUUCCCUCCAGUCCUCGGCGUUACCCACAUGGCAAGAGGAUGUGCAGCGGCUGAUGUGGAGGAAAGACAAUCAGGCCGUCAAGGGUGAACCCCCCGUGAAUAAUUCCAACUUUAAUUGGAAAGAAAUCUAUACAUGGAACUUCACUUGCACGCAGGAUCACAGUACCUUGAAGAAACAAUUACAAAGCAUAGAGAGGUAAUCAAUGGCUCUGCUUCGCCAUGAAAUGUCACCCGAUGAAGCUGAUACGGCCCUGAAGUAUUAGCGUUUAACCUGUGUCUCUAAGUGAAUAGCGUACAGUUAAAGCGAGCACAAGGUGGCACUAGUAGCUGUACAAAUACAUUCAGCACAUACAUCUAAUGCAUGUAAAUUAAACCUCAUCUGUGCCCAUAGUUGUAGUUAUUGAACCAUUAUUUCACAGUUUAUUAUUCUUUUCAACACUUAAACUCUUUUAAUACAAUAUUUCUUCUAACAAUUCCCCUCCGUAGUUGUGUGCUCUCCAAAC
rnacentral:lncRNA from 1 species